rnacentral:tRNA from 1 species
GGCGCGGUACCCAAGAGGUAAGGGAGGAGCCAUCAAAGCUCUUAUGCGCCGGUUCGAGUCCGGCCCGCGCCACCA